rnacentral:rRNA from 1 species
UACGGAGGGGGCUAGCGUUGUUCGGAAUUACUGGGCGUAAAGCGCGCGUAGGCGGCUUUGUAAGUUAGAGGUGAAAGCCCGGAGCUUAACUCCGGAACUGCCUUUAAGACUGCAUCGCUAGAAUCGUGGAGAGGUGAGUGGAAUUCCGAGUGUAGAGGUGAAAUUCGUAGAUAUUCGGAAGAAACACCAGUGGCGAAGGCGACUCACUGGACACGUAUUGACGCUGAGGUGGCGAAAGCGUGGGGAGCAAACAGG